CCUACGGGAGGCAGCAGUAGGGAAUCUUGCGCAAUGGGCGAAAGCCUGACGCAGCCAUGCCGCGUGAAUGAUGAAGGUCUUAGGAUUGUAAAAUUCUUUCACCGGGGAAGAUAAUGACGGUACCCGGAGAAGAAGCCCCGGCUAACUUCGUGCCAGCAGCCGCGGUAAUACGAAGGGGGCUAGCGUUGCUCGGAAUUACUGGGCGUAAAGGGCGCGUAGGCGGAUACUUAAGUUAGAGGUGAAAGCCCAGGGCUCAACCCUGGAAUAGCCUUUAAUACUGGGUAUCUUGAGUUCGGGAGAGGUGAGUGGAAUGCCGAGUGUAGAGGUGAAAUUCGUAGAUAUUCGGCGGAACACCAGUGGCGAAGGCGACUCACUGGCCCGAUACUGACGCUGAGGCGCGAAAGCGUGGGGAGCAAACAGGAUUAGAUACCCUGGUAGUCCACGCUGUAAACGAUGAGUGCUAGUUGUCGGCAUGCAUGCAUGUCGGUGACGCAGCUACGACAUAAGUACACUCCGCCGUGGGAGGUACGGUCGCGAGAAUUAAACGUUAAACGGUAAGUUAGACGGCGUGAGACGUGCCGAACGGACGACGACGAGGGAGGUAGG
rnacentral:rRNA from 1 species